rnacentral:rRNA from 1 species
UACAGAGGUCUCAAGCGUUGUUCGGAUUCAUUGGGCGUAAAGGGUGUGUAGGUGGCGCGCUAAGUCGGGUGUGAAAUUUCGGAGCUUAACUCCGAAACUGCAUUCGAUACUGGCGUGCUUGAGGACUGGAGAGGAGACUGGAAUUCAUGGUGUAGCAGUGAAAUGCGUAGAUAUCAAGCGGAACACCAGUGGCGAAGGCGAGUCCCUGGACAGUUCCUGACGCUGAGGCACGAAGGUCAGGGGAGCAAACGGG